rnacentral:rRNA from 1 species
AACGAACGCUGGCGGCAUGCCUAACACAUGCAAGUCGAACGAGACCUUCGGGUCUAGUGGCGCACGGGUGCGUAACGCGUGGGAAUCUGCCCUUGGGUUCGGAAUAACUCGCCGAAAGGCGUGCUAAUACCGGAUGAUGUCGUAAGACCAAAGAUUUAUCGCCCAGGGGUGAGCCCGCGUAAGAUUAGGUAGUUGGUGAGGUAAAGGCUCACCAAGCCGACGAUCUUUAGCUGGUCUGAGAGGAUGAUCAGCCACACUGGGACUGAGACACGGCCCAG